rnacentral:rRNA from 1 species
GAUCCUGGCUCAGGAUGAACGCUAGCGACAGGCUUAACACAUGCAAGUCGAGGGGCAGCAUAAAAGUAGCAAUACUUGGUGGCGACCGGCGCACGGGUGAGUAACGCGUAUGCAACCUACCUAUCAGAGGGGAAUAACCCGGCGAAAGUCGGACUAAUACCGCAUAAAACAGGGGCACCGCAUGGUGAUAUUUGUUAAAGAAAUUCGCUGAUAGAUGGGCAUGCGUUCCAUUAGGUAGUUGGUGAGGUAACGGCUCACCAAGCCGACGAUGGAUAGGGAACUGAGAGGUUGGUCCCCCACACUGGUACUGAGACACGGACCAGACUCCUACGGGAGGCAGCAGUGAGGAAUAUUGGUCAAUGGGCGGGAGCCUGAACCAGCCAAGUCGCGUGAAGGAAGAAGGAUCUAUGGUUCGUAAACUUCUUUUGCAGGGGAAUAAAGUGCAGGACGUGUCCUGUUUUGUAUGUACCCUGAGAAUAAGGAUCGGCUAACUCCGUGCCAGCCGCCGC